rnacentral:lncRNA from 11 species
AUUUUUUCUGGAAAGGGGGGUGGCAGGCCAAAUAAGCUUGGGAACCACUGGUGUAGACGCAGCCCAAGCUCCCGCAACCCUUCCCAGCAAUUUAACUCCCAUGUGUUUCCCCUCUUUUCUCCCUCCGCCUAAAGCCAGCAGCAAGGCCUCCAACAGCCCCGUGAAAGUGGCAGACGGUGGGAUGAUGAAGGCGGCUAUGUACUCUGUGGAGAUCACUGUGGAGAAGGACAAAGUCACGGGAGAGACCAAGGUCCUUUCCAGCACCACUAGACUUCCCAAAGACCACUCAGUUCAGGGGGUCAAAGUGUACGAGGACGAGAUGAAAGGUAGGCUCCGUCCGCACCCCAACGUCCGAGGAUGGGCCAGGAAGUCCAAAGCCGAUCUCGGGGUCCCUAUUACUCCUCGCUCGUCCCACUUUCUCAGUUGCUGUUAAAACGCCCCCGUUUCUCCUUCUUGCCCUGCACCUUUGUCCUGCGCUUUGCUUCAGUCACUGCCAACUGGGUUCCAAGUGCCAACCGCGUUUUGCACUCCAUGUCUCAAACUUUCUCAGCGGCGGAGCCCUUUUUGAAGCGAAGUUUUUUUAAUGAAGCCCCAAGAAAUGUAUAUUAUGUGGUAAGGUAGGGAGCCACGGUGGAGGAACCUUCCCGGAAGCAAGGCCUAAUAAUAAUAAUAAUAAUAAUAAUAAUAAUAAUAAUCCCCCCCCAGGCAGGAAGCACCAA